rnacentral:lncRNA from 1 species
UCCAUUUUAACAAAGCCCUACACCACUCCAGCCUGGUGGCACUGUGUGUGUGCUCAUGUGUGUUUGUUGCAUCUGGAUGUUCACAAGGAACUAACAGAACUGAUUAUCAGGUACUGCUGCAUGCAAAUGCCAUGGGAAAAACAGGAGACACAAGCACAGAAGGCAACCAGGAGGUUUUUAAGGACAAGUAAAAGGAGAUGAAAACAAGAAAAUGACUGAAAUGGAAAUCUCAAAGGUAAGGCAUUUUCAAGUUUAUAUAUAAUCAGUAAAC